rnacentral:rRNA from 1 species
UACGUAGGUGGCAAGCGUUGUCCGGAUUUACUGGGCGUAAAGCGCGUUCAGGCGGUUUGGCAAGUCGGGCAUGAAAUCUCUCGGCUCAACCGGGAGAGGUUGUCCGAUACUGCUGGACUUGAGGGCAGUAGAGGGUGGUGGAAUUCCGGGUGUAGUGGUGAAAUGCGUAGAUAUCCGGAGGAACACCAGUGGCGAAGGCGACUUCCUGGCCUGUUCUUGACGCUGAGGCGCGAAAGCUGGGGGAGCAAACGGG